CCUACGGGUGACAGCAGUGAGGAAUAUUGGUCAAUGGACGAGAGUCUGAACCAGCCAAGUAGCGUGCAGGAUGACUGCCCUAUGGGUUGUAAACUUCUUUUAUAUGGGAAUAAAAUGUUCCACGUGUGGGGUUUUGUAUGUACCCUAUGAAUAAGGAUCGGCUAACUCCGUGCCAGCAGCCGCGGUAAUACGGAGGAUCCGAGCGUUAUCCGGAUUUAUUGGGUUUAAAGGGAGCGUAGGUGGAGUGUUAAGUCAGUUGUGAAAGUUUGCGGCUCAACCGUAAAAUUGCAGUUGAAACUGGCAGGCUUGAGUACAGUAGAGGUGGGCGGAAUUCGUGGUGUAGCGGUGAAAUGCUUAGAUAGCACGAAGAACUCCGAUUGCGAAGGCAGUUCACUGGACUGCAACUGACACUGAGGCUCGAAAGUGUGGGUAUCAAACAGGAUUAGAUACCCGGGUAGUC
rnacentral:rRNA from 1 species